rnacentral:rRNA from 1 species
AGGAAUGUAUCGGAUACUGGGCGUAAGCGUGUGUAGGCGGUUCGGAAAGAAAGAUGUGAAAUCCCAGGGCUCAACCUUGGAACUGCAUUUUUAACUGCCGAGCUAGAGUAUGUCAGAGGGGGGUAGAAUUCCACGUGUAGCAGUGAAAUGCGUAGAUAUGUGGAGGAAUACCGAUGGCGAAGGCAGCCCCCUGGGAUAAUACUGACGCUCAGACACGAAAGCGUGGGGAGCAAACAGGAUUAGAUACCCUGGUAGUCCACGCCCUAAACGAUGUCAACUAGCUGUUGGGGCCGUUAGGCCUUAGUAGCGCAGCUAACGCGUGAAGUUGACCGCCUGGGGAGUACGGUCGCAAGAUUAAAACUCAAAUGAAUUGACGG